rnacentral:rRNA from 1 species
UACGUAGGGUGCGAGCGUUAAUCGGAAUUACUGGGCGUAAAGCGUGCGCAGGCGGUUCGCUAAGACCGAUGUGAAAUCCCCGGGCUUAACCUGGGAAUGGCAUUUGGGACUGCAAGGCUUGAGUGCGGCAGAGGAGACUGGAAUUCCUGGUGUAGCAGUGAAAUGCGUAGAUAUCAGGAGGAACACCGAUGGCGAAGGCAGGUCUCUGGGCUGACACUGACGCUCAUGCACGAAAGCGUGGGGAGCAAACAGG